rnacentral:lncRNA from 1 species
CAAUCAGCUGACUGCAGCAGCAGCAGCAGCAGUGAUGCACAGAUCUGAUCUGCGUUGGCAAUAUACUUGUAAUUCGGACAUGCAUCUCCAGGACACCAGCCUUAGCAGGAAGGGGAGCCAAUCAACGGGAAACAAUUAUGCAAAUUUAAAAUGUAAACUCUCUGGAGCCCCUGCCACAACCUGAUCUCUAUAAGAAUCAUGAUGUUUCCAAGGCAGCACAUGGUUUGGGGAAAUUGGAGAGAAUACUCCCGAUGGAAAGGGAUAACAUCACAGCUGCCACAACAAUGCUAUCCAGUGAGCAAAUGUCGGAUGUUCAGAGGGACCAAGUCAUCUUGAUUAGAAUCGUGGAGGAGCUGAAGAAUUCACAUUUGGGCUGAUGGGCCUGGGGUAGGGAUGACCAACAGACCACAUGCUUCUUGUCUCUUCUACUCCCUGAUCCUCUGAUAGACAGGGCUAAGUGAUCAUCCACUCCUCCCACCCUCCAGCCUCCGAGUGGGCCACUUUUCAAG